UGCUUCGGUGGUGUUUUUCUCCUGCCACGUGACGGGCCUACUCCUGGAUGUUUAGACGCGGAUCCCCCAGGAAAAAAAAAGAGAAGGGGAGAAGUUCCACAGGAUCUCCUCCACCACAUUAUAUCUGUUGCAUGACAGACUCAGACCUUGGCCAAUCAGAGGCCCCCAUGUGCAGACGGAUUGCCAUAUCAGUAAGUAAUUUACUGUAAGAUGUUUUAUAUUGCUAUUUGUACAUAAACGUUUUGAUCUACAUGUGCUUAAUCUGAGCAAGUUUCACACAGGAGGAAAAUAAUCCUGCUUUAGAAAAUGUGAAUGAUGGAUUAUAAUUAAUUUGUUAAGUAUAUAUAUUUUUCCUUAGGGUACGUCAAGUCUUUUUAAACCUUGAAUGUACUUGCAUUUGCGGCUGGGCCGGCAACAACAGGGUGAUCAAAUUAAGAUAUGGUAUCUGUAGAUUUAGACUGGUCUAGUAUUUAGCCCUCAUCUUAGGUAGCCAAUAAACACCUAAUGUUUCAGAAUCGGUCGGAGCAUACAAAGUCCUGCAACUAUCCAACCGCUGUUAUCUCUGUGCUGUGACUGGAGCCAUUACAAAAUGGUGUCCGCUCUCCCUGCAGCUCUCCCGUCCAUUUUGUGCGUCUCUGCCAAAGUAAUCAGGUAGCAGGAUGAGAAGAAGGGGAGCGAGAGCACAAGUGACGGGAAAGGGUAGCCUUGAAAGGGGCAUGGAGAAGAGCACGCCACUAGUUUGGAGGUUUUUGGGUGGUGGGUUGUUAAUGAACAGUGAGAGGAAGGAAUACAGAAUUAGAUAUUUUCUUAUUUAGAGGUUUAAUUGUUACCGACUGACUGCAUACAAACAAGCACCCUUGCAGGCAGCCUCUCUGGACCCUUUCCAGCUUCGCUUCUCAUAAAGCUGACCUUGGGCAGAUGCCAUAAACUGUUAUUUUCCACUGGCCCAAAAUGUGCUACUGGCAGGGCCUGCAGCCACUCAGAACCACCCCGUACCCCAGCCCAGCCGGACUCCCCCCGCAAGCCUGGGCUUGGCCUGGCCGGUAAAACACAACCUAGCCGGCCUGUCUGCUGGGACAAACACUUUCCAAUGCUCCUAACCCAUUCAUUGCCGGGGUCUGCAUCCUAACCUCAGCACUUUAAGUUCUAGCAAAUUACCCCAAAUCCUAACUGCAACCCUAAUUCAGACCUCAGCUCUCACACCUGCUAAGGAAGUGAGACUGCGGACUUCCUUAGCGGGUUCUGCCCACGGCUCUGGAAUGGCAGGCAUUCAAUUACACGGUAUCAUAUCACAGGCAUAUGGUGUAUUGAUCCGUAAUGCCACGGCUAUAGGGAAACAUGCACACCACACACUCUGAUCUGACCUCUUAAGCAAUGUGGGUGACUGCUUCAGAGACCAAUUGUAUUUAGCUGUGCUAAGCUGUGUUCCAGUAUCAACCAUGGCCAACUCAAAUCUUUUGAAAUUUGGGAAUCAACAGCACAUAGUGUUAUGUUAUAACCCUCGAGGGGGUGUGGUAUAUGGCCAAUACACCACAGCUAAGGGCGUUUUUUAGGCACAGUGUAAUGGGGAGUGCCGGGAUACAGACAUCAACCAUGGUAUGUAUUAGGUCAUAUACCAUAACUACUUGUUUUAUAACUAGGCACUAACAAUGAACAGAAUUUUUUUUUUUUGCAUAACUGGUAUGGUGUCUCAUACCACAGCUUUUAUAUAAUGAAUCAUUAAAGGUUUGAUAAUGCGAUCCAGCCAGCUGAUAGCCUGUGGGUAGUUUCACAUAGACCCAACAGAAGCCUGUUUUAUAGGACACCCUUCUCAGACAUCUCUCAUUCUUUACUCUCUUCGUCUAAUCCGCAAAUGGCACAGAACAGCCUCCAUAUUGUGUUUGUGGUAUGAAUUAUAAAUGAUAUGGUAUAACGUGCCCAUUAUAGCCUCGGCUGUGUAUCAUCUACCCAGUGUCAUGGCGUGAAUUCAUUUCCCCAUGCAUGCAGCCCAGACCAGACCUUGUGGAAACCAUACUGUGAAGUUGCCUGGCCUC
ensembl:lncRNA